rnacentral:rRNA from 1 species
AUGGUUUUCCCAGGAAGGGGAAGGAUCCGUGUCGAUGCUAACAGUGUUCAGAGCGUAUUUGAUCUCCCAAACAAGGGUCCAAAAGUCAGAUAUUUAGUUGACAAGGAUGCCACUAGGAGAUUCAGACAGGCUUUCAACAUAACCGGAAAUUCUCAUCCCCAGAUCACUACAUGGCUCAAGAUGAUUGAGCAUAUGGCUGGAAGAAUGGAUGACACAUUCUUUAUGGCCUGGCUUGCGAUACUAUACCUUGAUGCGCUCGUACAUGACAUCCCAGUAAGAAACUGCGCGAUACGAUCGAAUGCAUGGGAUAGUACUCUAAUUGCCAAGGUGAUCAAGAAGGAUACUAUCUCUCCUGGUGUGUUCGGCAAAUUACAACUUAAAGAGGAGUAUAGAGGCACGGAGCAGACACCACUGUUUGGUGGAAUUUUGCAAGCUGAAGCAUUUGUGGCAUCCAAGUUACCAAUAACAUACAAUCCGCAGAAAAAGGCAAAAAUUGCGAAAGUGGUCAAUGAGCUAUGCAAGGCUGUAACUGAACAGGUUGGCACCUUCAUUGAAGAAGUUGCCAAGAUUGAUGACGAGGAACCAGAUAUUGAUCCUUACGAGAUGCCCUGGUCCUUGAACCCUUACGAAGAUCAAACUCUUAUCAUGGUGACGGGUUCUGCGAUGCACCAUCUUUUGACCUCGGCAUAG